rnacentral:rRNA from 1 species
UACGGAGGGUGCUAGCGUUGUUCGGAAUCACUGGGCGUAAAGGGCGUGUAGGCGGUCUGUUAAGUCUGAUGUGAAAUCCCCAGGCUCAACCUGGGAACUGCGUCCGAUACUGGCAGGCUUGAAUCCGGGAGAGGGAUGUGGAAUUCCAGGUGUAGCGGUGAAAUGCGUAGAUAUCUGGAGGAACACCGGUGGCGAAGGCGGCAUCCUGGACCGGUAUUGACGCUGAGGCGCGAAAGCUAGGGGAGCAAACGGG